rnacentral:tRNA from 10 species
GUCGGUGUAGCUCAGUGGUAGAGCACUUCCCUCAUAAAGAAGUUGUCGCAGGUUCGAUCCCUGCCACCGACACCA